rnacentral:RNase_P_RNA from 2 species
CGAGUUGGCUGGGCGGCCGCGGCUCGGGCUCAUGUAGCGCCGAGUCGAGGAAAGUCCGGACUUCACAGAGCAGGGUGAUUGCUAACGGCAAUCCGAGGUGACUCGCGGGAAAGUGCCACAGAAAACAGACCGCCACCUGCGCGGUGGUAAGGGUGAAACGGUGCGGUAAGAGCGCACCAGCAUUCCGGGUGACCGGGGUGGCUAGGCAAACCCCACCCGAAGCAAGGUCAAGAAGACCGCACUACGGUGCGGUCGCGCAGGCGUUUGAGGGUUGCUCGCCCGAGCCUGCGGGUAGACCGCUCGAGGCACCCGGUGACGGUGUGUCCAGAUGGAUGGUCGCCGCCGCGUCGAUGACGCGGUACAGAAUCCGGCUUACAGGUCAACUCGCCCG